rnacentral:rRNA from 1 species
CAUCAACGCUGGCGGCGUGCCUAACACAUGCAAGUCGAACGAGAAAGUGGAGCAAUCCAUGAGUAAAGUGGCGCACGGGUGAGUAACACGUGACUAACCUACCCUUGAGUGGGGAUAACCUAGGGAAACCUGGGCUAAUACCGCAUAACACCUACGGGUCAAAGGAGCAAUUCGCUUUAGGAGGAGUCGCGGCAGAUUAGUUAGUUGGCGGGGUAAUGGCCCACCAAGACGAUGAUCUGUAUCCGCCUGAGA